ACCUGUUGUGGGUGACACGCGCGUGGACGCCCGCAGCAAUCAGGACAAACACCGUGUCACGGGAACACCGGGGCACUUCAGGGCGUU
rnacentral:sRNA from 1 species